rnacentral:tRNA from 1 species
GGGGACGUGGCGGAAUGGCAGACGCGCUUGGUUGAGGGCCAAGUGAGCAUUAGCUCGUGUGAGUUCAACUCUCACCGUCCCCACCA